CACAGAUGAACGUGUCCUGAAAGGGGGCUUAUAUACCUUGGAUAUAUGAUCCGCCCUCCUGACAAGCCACAGCAGCACUUAAAAAGGCUUGUGAAGGGAUGAUGCCAGUGGAAGAAAACAGGAACUUUGACCUCCCAGAGCCUAUGGAUACCAAGAAGGGAUCAGAUGACUGAUUUUUUCAAAAGCUUCCUGGUGGAAUAAAUGCAUUUCACAGCAUUGAGCCGCCAGCCAACUCUGGCCAGUGGUGCCCUGUAGCCUUUCUGGGAAUGUGGGAAAGGAAAGAAGAGAAAGCCUUGAGCAACACUGGCUGGUCGCAUGGUACCAGUAGUACUCCCCCACAUGCUGUGACAACCAAAAAUGUCUCCAGACAUUGGCACAUUGCCCCUGGUUGAGAAUUGCU
rnacentral:lncRNA from 10 species